rfam:Pteropus vampyrus cont1.41882, whole genome shotgun sequence.
GAACAGCCACCUUCAAAAUGCAGCUUGAUUGUGAUUCAUGGCAAAAAGCUGGAAUAACCCUGUCAGGUCUCAGAAGCUUUAAGAUAAAUCGAAUUGAACUUGUUACACAUAAAAGCACCUUGAAAAUGAAUCAUCUGCUAAUUUAGUAUUUUCUAAUUACAAUCACUCUCUUUCAGGGCAUGUAAUUAAUUUACUGAGUUUAAAAAAAUAAGUCA